ensembl:lncRNA
UGAAUCCUAGAAUGGCCUGGGUUGAAAAGGACCACAAUGCUCAUCCACUCCAACCCCCUGCUAUGUGCAGGGUCACCAACCAGCAGCCCAGGCUGCCCAGAGCCACAUCCAGCCUGUCCUUGAAUGCCUGCAGGGAUGGGGCAUCCACAGCCUCCUUGGGCAACCUGUUCAGUGCGUCACCACCCUCUGCGUGAAAAACUUCCUCCCAGUAUCCAACUUAAACCUCCCCUGUCUCAGUUUAAAACCGUUCCCCCUUGUCCUAUCACUAUCCACCCUUGUAAACAAGAGGCACCUCUGCCUCCUCACAGAGAAAAAGAAAAUGAUAUUACUGCGCAAGUGAACCGCUAUCAGGAACAAGCUGUAACAAUUUAAUACAUUCAUUGAAAGCUAUAUUUUCCAUAUUUUCAGCAAGUUCUCGUGCCCUUUGGGAUGCACUGCAUAGCUCAAACAACCCACUGCUGUCCCCUCCAGCAAUAAAACAUUAAUAGACUGAAACUUUUCAAUUACAUUACUAUGAAUGGGAUGCAAUUUAAUUUUAUAAGGGGCCAUCAAUAAUACAUAAAAAAAAUAUUGUAAAACACAACGUGAUGACUUUAAUUCCUAGGAGCGUGUCUGGAAGAACAGCAGGUGAAGCAUGGCACUGAGCAGGUGCCAAACACAAUCAUUUACUCCAGGUAAACUCCACGUGCCCAGAGCCGGUCAGACAACGCUGUGCAAACAUCUCUCUCCCCCAGCACCUCCCUUCAGUCAUGUUAAUUAAAUUGUAGUCCUAAAAGACUAUUUCUGCCCAACAAACAACACGAGACUCUGGUUUGGAAGGUUAAUUAACUGUGCAGGAAGCGGGUUGCAAAAAAUGUUACUUUCCACCAGCACAGUUUCUGCUGUUAAGACAGAUACUGGUGCUUGACAAAGAGGAUAUAUUUUUAUUAUCCAUACAGGCUCUGAUCUCUGGCCUUGCGACAUAAUGAGAACACAUUAUGGACUUGUCUUGGGGACAGCCAUAAGAA